rnacentral:lncRNA from 10 species
UGUAAAACAGAGCCAGUAGUACCCAUCUUUUGGUGUGAAGAAUGAGAAGUGAAGGUGGAAGGGCUUGGUGCUCUGAAAAGCCUGGUGCCUUGUGGCCCUGGCAGAGUAUGUGAUUGGUGGGGCAGUGACAAAAACAGAAAGUGCUUUGGAAUCCUGGGGCCUGCCAGGAAUGUGGGCAAACCUGUUCCAUCCACUGCUGCCCCAAGCUCCAGACUCUCCCAUCUUCUCCCCCAAUCAGGUUCCCUCCCCCAUUCUUUGGGUGCGUCUUGGCUUGUCCUGCCUGUCUUCUUCUAGGAAGCCACUCAGUCCUGCCUCAAAGAAGGGAGGAAGGAUGUCACCUUGUCCUGGGCAAGUUAUUGGGCAAGACCAGGCAGCUCCAGUGCUAAUUUAAUGCUGGGAAGAGAGUCGGGGAACCUGCAGCUCUGGCCAGCUUUCCCCCAAGGAAUCCCAGCCCUACCAGCCUCCUCCCUGUCUCUGGCACAUACCAGUUCACAGCCAGAUCAGUAGAGCAGAGGUGUACAAUGGGGAGGCUCUGGCCUGAGAAGAGGAAGCCCCUGAGAGCAUUCAAAGGGUCAAGAGAGGACUAAGGCAAGACCUCUUGGAUUAGGAAAAAGGUCAUAGCAACCCAAAGGAGGCGGAGCAACUGGAGUUCAAGACAUUCACCUUAAAAGGUACACUCAGUUGCCCCUGCGUUUGGACUUUGCUGACCUGGAAAAAAGAGAACUGCAUAGUAAUCCAUUUGUGUUCCAUCUCGUCAAAAGUAUAGCACCUGUGGGGGCUGAGCUGGUGUUUCGUGGGAUCAUGAUGAUUCUCUGACUUGAAGUGCAAGGACUGGGAAAAAAUUCCAUGUCUGUAAGAAAAUGAAUCCUAAAGAUUCCAGUGUUGUACCUUAUCCAUUGAUAUAUUCAUUCAUUCAUCCAUUCACCCACUCAUUCAUCAAUGUAGUAUUUCCCAAAUGUCACUCAUUCCUGUACUACUUUCAUCAUUUUUUAUAAUCUGUAAGAUAUUUUUGCUUUGUGUUUUUCUUUAUUGGACUAUUUUACUUAAAUAAAUUUAGCCUCAGCCUAAGCAACAGUACAGUCUGUUUAAAUAUAGCUAUUACAAUAACAAAAUGUUUGUCCAUGUAUCACCUAAAACCCUCUUCUGUGCCACCUUGGAUGUAUCUGCAUUCACUCAUCCUCUCCUCUCUGCACCUCAGGUCCCACAAGUGAGCAGUGGAGGGCAUUCGGAUGCAAUGAUCUUUCAGCCCUAACAUUCUGGAAGUCUGAUUCAAAGAGUCACACCCAGCAAAGGAAAACACAGAGACUAGACGGAAUCAGUGAAGAGGUGGCUGGUCAAAAGCAGCACAUGUAUCGUGUUUUCAAAGCUCAGCAGUGACUCAGGAAGGCAAGACAGGAAGUCCCUUGGGAAUGGUCUGUAAACCAGGGCGAGGGACUAAGAAAAACAGGUAGAUAAGUCCCCAGGAGCCUUAAACAGCCCCCAAAGCAUGAGCUACACAUAUGUCACUAGACUCUGUCAGAACCUUUCAGAGCUGGCCAGGCAUGGUGGCUCACGCCUGUGAUCCCAGCACUUUGGGAAGCUGAGGUGGGAGGAUAGGUUGAACCCAGGAAUUCGAGACCAGCCUGGGCAACAUAGCGAGACCUUGUCUCUACCAAAAAUAAAAUAAAUAAAUAAUUUAAAAAGAGGCCAGGAGUGGUGGCUCACACCUGUAAUCUCAGCACUUUGGGAGGCCCAGGCGGGCGGAUCACCUGAGGUCAGGAGUUACAGACCAGCCUGGCCAACGUGGCGAAACCUCAUUUCUACUAAAAAUACAAAAAUUAGUCAGGCAUGGUGGCAGGCGUCUGUAAUCCCAGCUACUCAGGAGGCUGAGGUGGGAGAAUUGCUUGAACCUGGGAAGCAGAGGUUGCAGUGAGCCGAGAUGGCGCCGCUGCACAGAGCAAGACCCCGUCUCAAAAAAAAAAAAAAAAGUAAUAAAGUAAAAAAUAAAAAGAACCUUCCAGAGUUUCUAGAGGCACUAAGACACUAAAAUGCCAGAGAAAGCCAUUUUACCCCUGAAGAAGCUCAGCACUGGGAAAUGACUGGGCAGAAACGUGGCCCACCUGGCCUGCUCCUAGUCCCCAGGACCGGCCAAACUGAAGUAGGUUUCUUCAGUUUUCUUCAGGUUUCUUCAGUAGGUACCUGCUCAGCCCACAAGCCCAGGGAGUCUCCUGGGUCCUUGGUUCUUCUAUGCAGCCCAGCCUCCUUGUCCAGUUAACUGGGGCAGAAGCAGGUACCUGACUCACAGGCAACCACUCUAGAGGCCAGGCUGGGCCAGUCAGAUUCCUGAACUUUGGAAUUAGGACAAGGAGAGGCCAGACUGUUUGCCACAGGUCCUGGUUGGGUAAGGAAAUGUAGAUUUGCCAAGGAGGGCUGCUUGGGACACGUGUCUGAAAGACAGAAAGGAAAUUGGUGUUUUGAGAGAAGUGGACGGAAAGGUGGGCAUUCCCCCAACACCAGUCCUGAGUGUAAGGUCCUUGUGCGACUUGCCUGCCCUUGAGAUCUGUGAGAUAGUUCUAACGCCUUAUAUUGAAUUACAUUUUUUGCUUAAACUAGCUGGAGUGGGCUUCUAUUUCAUGUAAACAAAUCAAUCACUGAUAUAGUGAAGCCCGUCCUUCAAAGUUUCCCAAAUUAGACUUGGCAAGUCGGCAUAAUGGUAAUGAUGCUAAUGACACCCCUGACAUUUGAUUGGUGUUUUAUAAUUUAAAAGUCCCUAACAUAGGGGUCAUCACUCCAGCCUGGGAUGACUUGCCCCAGACCUACUCAUGCUCCAGACUCUUGGGGAACGGCAUCACUCCUAAAACUCUCAAUGUCUUCAACAAUAAAGUGGGGUUAAUAAAGCCUGUUUUAAGUGGUUGUUGCAAGGUUUGAAUGUGGUAUGCAAAGUGUUUAGCACUUUGGCACACAGUAAAAGUGCUCAGUAUGUGGUAGCCAUAAUAGUGAUUUAUUAUAUAAAGUACCUAGAUGAGGCUAGACACAUAAUCACUAAUCAAAAAUUAUGUAAUAUAAAGUGCUUACUGAUCAGUGCAGAGGGUUUGACUUGACCAGACUUAACAGGAUCACUUGUAAAACAAAGGAGUUUUAGUUGAUCACAAGCUUUAUGUGAGUCAACAGAAACCAUCACAAAGCUAAUGUGAUCUCAGGCCAUAUUAAGAAAAGUUUUAUCUCUAGAAGAUGGGAGAUGUUAGUCAUGUCCACCUCAGUCCCUAUCAGACAACACCUAGUGGUGGGGAGGGGGCGGGCUCUAGGAAGAGGACCUGUGACCUCACAACUUUCUAAGAAAAAUAAAAUUUCUUUCUUGGCAAGUAUGCUUGCACAUAUAGAACUCAAAAAACAUUCCUCUAUUUUUUUUUCCUUUUUCACUUAUGCCUUUGUCUUGGAGUAGUUAGAGAAAGCCACUGCAAUCAAGACAGUGUGGUAUUGGUAUACAGAUGAAUAAAUUUAAAAUGUCUGCCCUUUGGAAGACACAAGAGAAUGCAAAUACAAUCCACAGACUGAGAGAAAAUAUUUGCAAAUGAUUUAUGGUGUGGUUUGGUUUUGUGUCCCUACUCAAAUCUCAUCUCAAAUUCUAAUUCCCACAUGUCAGAGGAAGGGCCUGAUGGGAGGUGAUUGGAUCAUGGGGGUGAAUUUUCCCCUUGGUGUUCUUGUGAUAGUCAGUUCUCAUAAGAUCUGAUGGUUUUAAAGUGUGGUUCUUCCUUCCCUUGCUCUCUCUCUGUCUCUCUCCUGUCACCAUGUAAGAUGUGCCUUGCUUCUCCUUCACCUUCUGCCAUUAUUGUAAGUUUCAUGAGG